ACAUCCCUCCCUAAUUCGCCAAUAGUACCUUUAUAACCCUACACCUUUUUAUAGGGAAUCUAACUCCUUCAGUGGAUUGCAGACCUCCCGCUAACCCCGGACGAAGGGAGCGUGAAGCUGAAGGGAGGAUACCCACCUGUCUUUGUGGCAGGAGUUAUAAUCGGUACUUUACGGUUAGGGGGAGAUUUU
rnacentral:other from 1 species